UACGGAGGGUGCAAGCGUUGUCCGGAUUUAUUGGGUUUAAAGGGUGCGUAGACGGCCCUCUAAGUCAGUGGUGAAAUACUGCAGCUUAACUGUAGCAUUGCCAUUGAUACUGGAGGGCUUGAGUACAGAUGAGGUAGGCGGAAUUUAUGGUGUAGCGGUGAAAUGCAUAGAUACCAUAAAGAACACCUAUUGCGAAGGCAGCUUACUAAGCUGUAACUGACGCUGAGGCACGAAAGCGUGGGGAGCGAACAGG
rnacentral:rRNA from 1 species